rnacentral:tRNA from 1 species
GGUUGUGGCUCAGUGGUAGAGCACUCACCUAGUGCAUGCGAGGCCCUGGGUUCGAUCCUUAGCAUAUCA